rnacentral:rRNA from 1 species
AUGCUUUCUCCUGAUAUGGUUUUCUUCCAUUUUCUCUCCCUCUUUAUAAACCAUCUGCAGAUUAGCGGAUUGCCUGCUGCCUCCUACCCACACUACACAAGAAGGAAACAAACUCUAGAGAUCUUCAGAGAGCAAACAAUGGCGGACUUCGCGCUUGGGUUGACCAAGACGGCGGUGGAGGGGACACUGAGCAGGGUCCAGUUGGCGAUCGAUGAAGAGAACAAGCUGAGGGUGACGGCGAAGCAAGAUCUGCGAUACAUCACAGCCGAAUUCCAAAUGAUGCAGUCCUUCCUUAAGGUCGUCAACAAAGAGCGCGCUAAUAAUGAAGUGGUGAAGACCUGGGUGAAGCAGCUCCGAGACCUUGCCUUCGAUGUCGAAGACUGCGUUGAGUUUGUUGUCCACCUGGACAACAACAACACGACCUUGAUCUGGUUGUGGCGCCUGGUGCCAUCCUGCAUGGCACCACCUCGGACUCGGGAGCUGGACAGGGCAGUCGCUGAGUUAAAGCAGCUGAAGGCGAGGGUCGAGGAGGUAAGCCAGAGAAACACACGCUACAACCUCAUCAGUGACUCCGGCUCCCAAGCCAAGACCACCACGCCAACCGAGCAGGCCGCCCUGGUCACCACCAACCCAUCAGCAUUCCACAUGCUAACUGAGGUCUGGGAGGCUGCUGGGAAGCGACGCGGCAUGAGUGACCUACAGGAGUUGAUCAUGGGUGAAGGCAGUGACCUUCAAACAAUCUCCGUAUGGGGAAGUUCAGCAGCUGAUCUUGGGACAACGUCCAUUUUUAGCAUGCUGUAUGGUGACCCAGGAAUCUGCCGAGCAUUCAAAAGACGAGCAUGGGUAAAGUUGACGCAUCCUUUUAAACCUGAUGAGUUCAUCAAGAGCUUGCUGACUCAGUUCUAUGUGAGCUCUCACCAAAAAAACAUUGCCGUGGACCGUCUCACGGAGGCUGAGCUCAUGCAGCAAGUGAAUGCACACAAGUAUCUCAUCAUUCUAGAAGAAGUAUUCAGUGUGGUGGACUGGGAUGCCAUCCGAGUGUGCCUGCCGGACAAUGAGAAUGGCAGCCGAAUCAUUGUGUCGACAAAGCAAUUAAGGACUGCACUUUUGUGCACAGGGGGGCCAUACAAAGUUUCAGAGCUCAGGAGAUUCUCCGAUGAUCAAUCUCUUUGUGCCUUUUCCAAGAAGGUAGGGCGUCAGAGUGGUAUGCGAGAUCUUAUUUGGCAAAUAAGGUGUCGUAGUGUGAUUUCGGUAUGGGGGCUUAGCAAUGACAAAUCAACACUCAUCAAUAAAGUGUACACUAGCAUAGUGUAUAAGUGUAGACAAUUCGAGGGGGUUGAAUUUCAACGACACAGCUGGGUCAAUGUACCCGCUCCUUUCAAUUUGGAGGUUUUCUCUCGGCGCUUACUUGUAAGUUUUCGUUCAGAAGAUCUCCAAGCUGAAGAAAUUGCGGUGGUUAGUAUGAUGGGAGAGUGUGUCUUAACUCAAGAGUGUUGCAAGUUUCUGCGUGAAGACGAUUGCCUCGUCGUUAUUAAUGGUUUGCAGUCCACACAUGACUGGGACUUGAUAAAAGCUGCCUUCUUGUCUGAGCCUAUUAAAGGAUGUAUUCUUAUCAUUACAAAUGAAUCAAGUGUUGCCACACAUUGUGUAGAGGAGGAAGAUGGAGUUCUCAACAUCAAAGAUUUGGAAGCUGACAUUAUGCUUCGCCCCUUGAUAAAGGGUUGGAGAACUGGAGGGAAGGAAGCUACUCACAGGGAUUUCCUUUUCUCCAUCAGAUUGGGAGAGACACGUGAAUGGUUCACAAAAUUUGGAAACAUGCAUGGGGAACAAAGGAAGGACCUUUGGUUCCAAUUAGACAAUCCUGGUGUGAUCUCGUUGUGGGGACCUGCUGGUGCUGGGAAAUCAACUCUCAUAAGAAUCGUGUACUAUUAUCUAAUGUUUAGAACUGAUGCUUAUCGGCAGUUGGAAUAUCAAGAGAGAAUGGUUCACCUGGAAGGGAAAAUUGCAAAGUUUAGUUGGGUUGAUGUGCCGCAUCCUUUCAAUUUGAAAGACUUCUCUUGGCGCUUGUUAUUGAAUUUUCAUUCAGGUGAUCUUCAGGCCCAAAAAAAUGCAGCAGUUGGUAUGAUGGAAGGCCAAGACCCAAUUAAGGAGUGCUCUAAGUUUUUGCAUGAAGACAAAUGUGUCAUCGUUAUUGAUGGUCUACGGUCCACUGAUGAUUGGGAUUUGAUAAAAGCUGCCUUAUUAUCUGAUCCAGUUACCAGCCAUAUUAUUGUCAUUACAAAUGUUGCAAGUGUCGCCAUGCAUUGUGUAGACGAGGGAGAUCGAGUGAUCAAGAUCAAUUGUCCAGAAGCUGACAUGGCCCUUGAUCCCCCAAUAAAGGGUUGUGCUUCCCGCGUAUUCUCCAACAGGAGUGCAGAGGCACUUAACUUUAUCAACACAUUUAGACUUCUUGGGUGUCAGGAUCGAUCAGCUGAUGAGCUUCUCCGCCGUUUAGAUUCCCCAGGCCCUAGUGUGACCUCAUUGUGGGGAAUUGCUGGUGUUGGGAAAUCAGCUGUGGCAAGAAGUCUGUACUGCCACGUGAUGCUUGGACUGGAGCAAAAUUUCAAGUGUAACCUCGCUGGUCCCAUAACGGAAUUUACAAUGUGCAGCUGGGUAGACGUGCGUCAUCCAUUUAAUUUGACAGACUUGUCUUGGCAUUUGCUCCUGGAUUUUCAUUCAGAUGAUCUUCAAGCUAAGGAAAAGGCAGCAAUUGGUAUCUUGGAAGGGCAAGAUCCUGUUCAAGAGUGUCGCAGAAUUAUGUGUGAGUACAGAAGUCUUGUUGUUCUCGAUGGAUUACGUUCCAGAGAGGAUUGGGACUUGAUAAAAGCCACCUUCUUACCCGAUUCUACUAAUGCAUGUAUCAUCGUAAUUACAAAUGAAGCAAGUGUGGCUACACAUUGUGUAGAUAAUAAGGAAGAUCGAGCGGUCAAUGUCAAAGGUCUUGAAGCUGACAUGACGCUCGUUCUCUUCAAACAGAUAAUAAAGGAUGGGAUGGAAUUUACUCCUGACGAGAUGGAGCUCUCCAAAGUUACCUUAGGCAGAUGUGGUGGGAUUCCUAAAGUUAUUGCUACUAUAGGCCAACUCUUCACCAAAGAGAAUGCCAGGUACUGGUCUAUGUCAGCCACAGAUUUGUUGGAGUUUAUAAACGAUGACUUUAUGAGCAAGUUGGAGACCCAUGAUUGGUUUCACAGUUUAAGGGGUCUAUUUUCUUGGAUGCAGUCCUACUUUGACGGUUGCUCAGAUUCCCUCAAGCCAUGCAUUUUCUAUCUGUCAAUCUUCCCUCCAGACCACAAGAUAAGGCAGCGGCAUUUGUUGAGACGGUGGAUUGCAGAGGGUUAUUGCAGGGACACAUAUAGUGGUACUGCAGAGGAGAAUGGGAAGAUAUUGUUCUUGGAACUCAUCAGCUUGAGCAUAAUCCAACAAUGUCAGAAGGAACAGAAGUACCUAUACCAAGUCAAUGGUUUCUUUCAUGAAUACAUCAUUUCACGGCCAAUGGAGGACAAUCUUGUCUUCGCACUGGAAGGGAAUUGCAGCCCGAACUCGCAACAUGCAGGUCAACAUCUCACCAUAAGGGAGGACUGGGACAGGGACGAGGCAGUAUUUAGGAGCAUGGACUUCUCACAUCUGCGGUCCUUGACUGUGUUUGGGGAGUGGAUGCCAUUCUUCCUCUCUUCCAACAUGAGUCUACUUCGGGUGUUAGAUUUGGCAGACACAUCAGGUAUACUAGAUGCUGACCUUGAGCAGAUCGUGAAGGUGCUACCUCGUCUUAAGUUUCUCUCUCUGCGAGGAUGCAAAGAGAUAAGCCAUCUACCAGAAUCAUUCGGUGGCCUGAGGCAGCUGCAAACUUUGGAUGUCAGAGACACCUCAAUAGUCAAGCUACCAUUGUGUGUCAUCAAGCUACAGAAGUUGCAAUACAUUCGUGCUGGCACCAUCAUAUCAUCAGAUGAAGGUGAUGAAUCUGUUGCAAGUGUACCAACAACAAACGUAGAACAAACAUCAUUGCCACCGGAGGGCAGUGAUGACAUGGUCACAACACUACCGAAAACAACAGAGGAGGUUCAGAUAUCAACACCACCUGAAGGUAGUGAUGGCGUGGUCACAACUCUACCGGAAACUACAGAGGAGAUUCAGACAUCAACACUACCAGAAACGAGAAGAGAGGUUCAGACAUCAGCAUCACCUGAGGGCAGUGAUGACAUGGUCACAGCACUAACGGAAACACGGUUGUUAUGGAGCUGCCGGCCAUGUAGUUUGGUGUCUAGCUGGUUAUCCAAGUUGCGCAGACGCCGACUUGAUAAUGAUGGUGUUGAGGUUCCUGAAGGGAUUGGGAGCAUGACGGCCUUGCAUACUAUUGGUGUUGUCAAUGUCAAUAUUCCUAAUGGAAAGGCAAUCCUAAAGGAGCUUAAGAAGGUUACACAACUACGCAAGCUCAGUGUGUCUGGCAUAAACGGGCAAAACAUACAAGAAUUGUGUAAUUUCAUAUCCGGUCACAAGCAUCUGGAGUCCUUGUCAGUGCGACUCGAUAAGCAUAAGGAUAAGGAUAAGGAGGGGUUAUUUGCUUGUUUCAGUGACAUGAUUUCCCAGCCACCCAAGACCCUAAAGAGCCUUAAGCUGUACGGGCAUGUAAACAAACUGCCAAUUUGGAUCAAACAGCUUGAUAAUCUCACGAAGUUCGAUCUUGAGUUGACUAUACUAUUGCCAGAGGACAUGCACUUCCUUGGUGAAUUGUCAGAUGCAUAUUUCAUACGCCGCCUUUGUGUCAAGCCAAUUCAAGACGGUGAACUCCAUUUUAGCACCCUGGGACAUGUUCUCUUUUGGACAUUACAGGUCCUAGAGAUCGAUUGCACCUCCAAGUUACUGGUAACUUUUGUAGAUCAUGUGAUUCGGACAACUGAGGUGCUGAAGAUUCACUGCUCUGGUGGGGCGUCCUUGCAGAUUUCUGGACUAGAGCAUCUAGCUAGUCUCAAAGAAGUGUGGCUGAAGGGUUCCUACAGCGACGAACUCGCGCAAGAGUUGCAACAGCAACUUUCCGAGCAUGCAAAAAAACCUGUCUGGAAGCUAGUGCAGCGACGCUCGUCUUGA